rnacentral:lncRNA from 1 species
ACUGACCAGUGAGCCGCCCGGCCAACACCUGAAGACCCAACAGUCUUGGGAGAGGCUUCCGAGAAGGCAGGGCGCCUCUGGGGAGGGGAGACCUGAGCCGAGGAGGAGGCGGCGAUCGGGAG